CCCUUAGUCAUUAGAUUCACUAUGCAGAUUGCAGCGGCGGAUUUUUCUUUCUCUUCUCUUCAGUCUCUCUCUCCUCUUUUCUCUUCAGAGUUCAGACAAAAGACAACUCCCUUUCUCUCUCAAAUCCUCCAUUCCUCUACAACUCAGUGAACUCACGUGGAUCUAUCUUCUUGUUUAGCCGGGGAUACAGGACUGUACAACGAUGUCGCUAGUGGUCAAGAUGAUGGUGCAUGGGGUUGUAACCUUUUUGAGAGUGUCUCUUUCAUCACUCUGAAAAACAAGUUUUGUUGCUGAGAGUGCAGCUUCAGGCCUCAUUCUGUUCAAGCACUUUUCGAAUUUCUAUAGAGAGAGAGGAUCGCUUGCAUCAACAACCAGAGAAGCAAAGUGUGAAGCCUAAUUGUUGAAAUUGAACUCUACAUUUGACAAGAUUUGCUCAAUAUCUGAUUUUUCGAACCCUCCUUCAUAGUCUUCCGAAUUUAUGUACCUUUAUGUAAAAUCAAUAAAAUUAGUUAGGAUCUUGUUUGGAUGUA